UAACUACACGUAAUAGAAUAGAUUGAAUGUAUUUAUGAUUAUCUAACCCGAAACAAAUUGUGUCUUUUUUAAAAAAAAAAAAUUAUCCUUACUAUAUCAAUGCCCAUAAUAGAUAACAUCUACUUUUAAAUAUUUAGAAAAAAAAAAAUCAAUUUCUAUAAUGCACACAAUAAAAUUAAGCGAGGAGCUGCCCUUCAAUCAGCUACAGCUGAAGUGACUAUUAGCCACAGAAAUUCUAUCAUAUAAAAAGAUGAGAAGCUUGAGGUUAUUUUCACAUGCUUUAUAGUAUUUUCUUAGGACAAUGACACGAUUUGACUUCUCUGUAUUCCCUGCACUUGGGACCAAUUUUGAAGCAGUGAAAACUCGCGAGACAAACAAAGCAUAAGAAACGAAACUAAAAAUCUUUCCCGGAUUCUUGCCCUUGGUUCCGUGCAUGCAUGCACAUAUGAUACUUCUACCAUCUAUAACUAACAGUCGAAUUUUGUGCGAAUUAGUUAUUUAACGACAUUAUCGCGUUAAAUUUAAGCCAAAAGAAAAAGUUUCAGGUCUCAACACAGGAGAAGAUUUUUAUUUUAAAAAAAAAAAAAAGCUGUAGAAGAAUAAUAAUAUUCUCAAAAGAGGGGCCUGGUUUCAAGAAACUAAUUAAUAAAGUUAUGAUAGUGUUUAGUAGAGAAAGCAUAAUACUAAAGAUGAAACGGAUUGUCAAAAGAGUUAGUGAAAUAAAUUAAAAGUGAAAGCAAUGAUUCCUUUUCCAUGUAAAGCAAAAACUGAUUCUUUCAAUCUAUUCUCUUCCUCUUUUUAAUUAAUUUACUGUAGUCUUCAACAUUCGUAUCACCGAAAUUCGAUAUGACCAUUGCUUAUCGUUUAUCUAUUAUUAUCUCUAACUAAUAUUAAUCACCUGAAGAUGCUAUAUAUGCUAUGCUAAGCUAGGUCAUCUCUCUAACUUUUAUUCUUUUUUUCCCUUAGUUUAUUUUAUGCUGAAUAAGAGAGAGACAAAUGAUUAAAGGAAAAGAAACCUCAAUCUGAUUCCAAUUUCUGUCGCUAAAAUAUAUAGAUAUAUAUUUUAUUUGCAGAGCACUAAGAAUGAAAGAAGUGUAAUGGGGGGGGGGGGGGGGGGGGGGGUCGAAAGUGGAGCCAGCCUUUUCAAUGAUCAAAGACUUGAGAGUUUUGGCUACUUCACAUUAUUGGGUGCGCAUCAUUUUUUUGAGUGCACCCCUUUCUGCGCCCUCAACUUGUAUAUAUAUUAUGCGUUCAAUAAGAUUUUUCACUUUUUCUUGUGUUUUAUGCUCUUGCUUUUUUGAAAUAUUCUUUCUCUCUCCAUUGUUCUCUCAUCAUAUCUCUAAUUUUAUCUAUACACUAUUUAGCUAGCUAGCUUCAUUUUUGCAUGAAUCAUUCUCUCUAGUUUUUGGGUAUCUUUAUUAUUAAUCAAUGACGCUUUUGUGGUUGAGCUAGCAUAUUAUUUAUUAGGGUAUCUUUACCUUAAUCAAUAUGUGAGCUCUAGAAUAUUAUGUAAACAUGUCAAGAAUUUUCAUUUCACAUCAAAUUGCAAAUGUUGUUUACUGCUAAAAGAGAUAAGCAAAUUGAUCGAUCCAUGAAUCAACCAACCUGCAUCCAUUAUUUUAAACCGGAAAAAAAAUCUUGCCUUUAGAUAGAUAAUGAAAUUUUAUUGCUAUCAUUAUAAUCAAAUAGAAAAAAAAGAUUCUCUUAAUGCGAUCGAUUUUGACUAAAUUAUUCCAUAACCAUGUGCUUAGCUUGGCAAUUCUUUUUCAUUUUAUCAUAGUGGAAGCUGCUCUUCUCUAGAUAUAUUGAAAAUGACAUGCACUUAGUUUUCUAAUUUCACAACUAGCUCCGAAGCUAUCAUUAAUUAGAUAUUUUAACAGUGAAUCUCUAAGUGCAACUUUGUUAGUGAAUAAGAGAAAAGGUGAGAAUUGAGAUGAUGAUUAAAGUUAAUGAUAAUGAAGUGUUAAGUUAAUCUCACCAUAAAUAAUUGUAUCAUUUAAAAUAACAAAAGUAAUUAUUCUUUUUGAAGAUAUAUAUAAUCAUUAUUAGAUGUGGACUCUGCCCUUAGGAUUGUUGAUGUAUAGUUCUUUUAUAAUUUUACAGCGCAUAAAGGCACUCGACAACGAAAUAAAAGGUUAAUAAGUUACGAAUGUCCAUAUUUGUGAAUAGUUCUUCUUUGAUGGACACGAAAAAAUUUAAAUUUCAAAUUGUAGACGACAACUUUCUAAAAAAAAUAUUGUCUAACUUGAAGUAAUCAUUGAAAAAAAAAAAAGAACUUCAAGUAAUCACUAUUUUUCUUUUUCUUUCUUUUUUUUUCUUUUGUCUUUCACAUUAGUUACUAAUAGUAUUUUCCGAACACUCACAUAUGAGAAUUUAUAAUUUUAUUAAAACAUUAAAAAUUUAAGAGAAAACCAAUGGGCAUGCUACAACUCCUACAGAUUCAUGAAACUCUUUGGAGAGCCGGGAAAAGAAUUAAAAAUUGAAUUAAGUAGUUAAAAUUAAUGAAAGCGAUACCCAUUUAAAAGUUCUUUAUAAUUUAAAAAUGACUCAAAAAUUUUCAAAAAAAUAUGUUUAAAAGUGGGGCCGGUUAGAUGUGUCGUAUAAGUGAGUUUGUGAAUAGAGUUACCAAGUCGACAAGUGGCAAGCACUCCCGGUUUGUAGUGGCCGUAAGGGAGGUUGGGGGGGAUUUUUGGUGUCGUUUUGUGCUUUCAUGGAUUGCGUUUACACAACCAUUCCAAUCAAAUCAUUUGGUGGUGGAGGUGUCCUCAUAAUUAUCAUCUAUCAUCUAUCAUCUAUCAUCAUCUUCCAUUAUUAUUAUUAUUAUUAUUCUUUCAGCUUUUAAAUUAAUUAUUGUCAUUAUGAAAUUAAUAAUGAAAAUUGGAUUUUCCUCCAAACUUUUCAAUCUCUGUUUUCUUUGUCUUUUGUGGUUUAGUCUUUGGUCUCUCUUUCUCACCUUUUUUUCAUUAUGAUUGUUGCUUUAACAACCUUAAUCUUUUCGUUGACCCCCUCAAAACUGGUUAGUUAUGAAUUCUUAUUAAGAGAAAGGGAAGAUUAAACUCAUAACAGAGUGUUCUAAUCCUAAAAACUGAAUACAUUCUAAUUUAAUUAUAAAUUUGACAAAAUGGUGAUAUUAAUUAAUAAAUAAAUGGAAAGAGAUUCUGUUUGUAAUCAUAAAUGUGAAAAAUAAACAAAUAAAAAAAAGGUGCUACUUUUUUUUUUUUUGGGGGUUUCUUCGGACUCAAAAUGGGGUUGAUUGGUUUCAACAAAUAAAUAACUGAAGCUACAUAAUUACAUGGUUGUGAUGAGACAUAUUGGUUGUCUCAGUCUCACUGUCAUAUCUUGCUUUUUGUCCACUGCAAAUCUUUCCAUGCUUCUUCACACAGAUUACCACGCAUGAGGGAAAAAUCUUUAUUGGUUGUCACAUCAAAUUUGAUACGCAUUUGCAUUUUGUUGAUGCAACAGUUCAAUAAUUGCAAUAUUCGUAGACUAACACUCCACCCAGUUUUAAUCUCUUUGAUUUUGAUUAAUUCCUUUGAUUAGCUCUGGCAACUUUUUUUUUAUUUGACUAGUGACGUUAAUUACUAGUUUGGAAUCUAUUCGAAUCUGUUCUUAACUUAGACAUCUAACCUAAAUCAGAUGUGCUAGCUUCUAUUUUUUUUUUUUUUUUUAAAAAGGGGAAUAAAAUUUCAUUAAUUGAAAGAAGCAAAUAAGGACAUAAGUUCUGAAGGGUAUGAACCCAUCCAAACAAUAUUUUCUCAUUUCUCUAGUGCUAACUUAGUUAGAGAAUGAGCAAUUGCAUUACAAAAUCUAGGUAUAUGUUGAACUUUAAUCUGAUUAAAAUUCUUCAUUAAGCUUUGAGAUGUGCUAGCUUCUAAUUAGUUGAAGAAGAAGGAAGAAAAAAUCCCCACAUAUAUGAGGAGUAGGAAUAUGAUUGGAUCCUACUAGAUUAGCUAUGUUGUGGCGUAAUUUAAUUAGAUGUCUAAAAUGAAAAAGGGGUAAAAUUUGCUUUCAAAUAGUGAACGCUCAUUUAAAUUACUUCUUGCUUUUGAAAAAAAAAAGAGUUAUCAUCCAAUAAAUAAGUGAUAUGUUUAACGGAGAUUCACAUUAAUUAAAUUAUCUUCUUCAGUUCAACAACAUAAUAAUGUUAAAAAAGUUAAUCGGAAUGAAUUAUUAAAUAAUGAUGAUAAGACUUAGAUUGUUAAAUCUUCUUAUAUUCAAUUAUUUAAGACAAAUGUAAUGCUUAAGUUAAGUUGCAUGCUUACAAGAAUAACAGAUAGAAAGCAGAAGGGUCAAAACAACAUCAUUGGAAAGAUGCAUUAUGGUGAUUAAUAAUUAUAAAUAUGCAUUAACUUAAAAGGCACUUCUAGAUGCGUGCGCGGUUUUUCCACAUUGGGUUAAAAUGCUAGUAAGAGUUCAUUAAGUUAAAGCAACAAUUACAUUACGUUUACAAAUUAAAGAAACAAACAAAACAAAAAGAAAGUCAUUAAACAGAAGGAUAAGAAACUGGUCACAUGAUGAGGGCACAAGUGAUAUAAAUGUAUUUUUUUUCAAAUAAUUAAAAACAAAAUUAAACUACAGUAACAUAUAGAUGAAGUUAAAGGUGUGUGUUGUCUAUAGAUCUGAUGUUUUAGUGAGUGUGAUUCACAUUAAGCACACCCCAUGUGACAGAUACCAAAAUCAUGUCAAUAUAUAUCAUCAAGAUAAAAAAAAAAAAAAAAGUUAAACGAUGUGUAUGUGAUAUCAAAUAUUAUUCUCAUUAGUGGAUAUGAUGUGGAGGAGGAGAAUGACAUGUAAGCAAUAGAAAAUAAAAUAAUGCAAAAAGCAAGUUAGGGUUUUGUUUUUAAGAUUUUGCAGAGAGACAAGAAGAACCCACAAAAUCACGCGCGUGCCCUCUUGUAUGUUUUUUUGAUUCUUUGCUUUAUUUGGACUCACAAAUCACCCACUACUUCAUCAUCAUCCAUUAUCUAGCAUUAAUUCUCAUACACCUAUUUGAAAAAAAAACAUAUAUUUCUUAUUUUUAAUUUAUUUUUUUAUAUUUUAAUUUCCUUCAUGUGAUUUAUUUAAUCUAUAAUAAAUAUGAAUAAGAGUGUAUUUAAAAAUAAUAGUAAUAUUAUAAACUUAUACUAUCAGGAGGUGUUAUUAGUUAUUAUAAAAAAGAGUAGAGAGUACAAAUGAUAUAUAUUGAUUACAAUAAAAGAAAAAAAAAGAAAAAUUAGUAAUUUCCCAUCGAUUGAAAUUCAAAUAGACAAUGAAGCUGGAAUUGGUCGUACUAAGUGAUCGGGUCAUGUAGUAUGUUAACAACAACAUACGGGGAAUUAUUCAAUAGUUGAUAGUAAACCAUUAUGAAAACAAAUUCAAGCCAAUUUUACGCCAAAAUAUCCAAAUUUUACCAUCAAAUAAUGAUUUGUGGUUCUUGACAAUAAUUGACGUUUUAUAUAUACACGUAUAUUCAUUUAUUUAUUUACCAAUUUUUGUUAAUGGAGAUGGACAAAAUUCAAAAGAAAAUUAAUUGUUAAACGAUCGCGAAUUGAGAUAGCUAGAAUUCUUGGGUUGUUGUAUGUGGGACACAUAUACUGUAUGAUAAUUGAAAUCAUUAUUAUGUGGCUUGAAAAUCCUUGUUACAUAUAAUUUUAUAUACAACUUAGAAAGCACGCGCAUUAGCCCUUUUCAUCCUCAUCCUCGCGUAAGCAUGAGACGUACAUUAGCACUUAAUGAUACUUAAAUGUGGUUCACAUUAUGUCAUCCUAUUAAUCAAAUAAAUUGAUAAUUAAUGGAUCAUUUUAGGUAGCCGUAGUAGCUUCCACUUGUACACGAGCAAAUAGCAACUAUUUUCAGUGGAAAAGGCAGGCUUAAACUGAGACCUAAGUAAAAUAAUAAUGUUGUUUCUUUCUGUACACAAAUAAAAUUCAAUCAGAUAAAGAACUCAAGUCUUUUUUUAAAAAUCACUUCUGUUUAUCCAGUGUCGAUCAUCCCACCAUCAUAGUCACCCGUAGCCGAAAUCCACACAGAUAUGAGAUAGCUACUAGCUAUAUAUGGGUUUCGGAUCAAAAUCAUGAAAUAGGAUUUGUGGAUUUUGUUUAGAUUUUCUAUUUGAUUAGCCAAUUAUAAGUAUAUUCAUUGGUGGGAGUGAUAAUGGAGAAAUUGUGCGGCAAAGACAAAGAUAUGAGAGAAGAGAAAGCCGGUUGAAAAGAAAAGAAAAGAAAAGAAAAAUAGAGUUACUCAAAUGUCCUUGCAUAAAUCAAAUAUUGUGCGGAAUGGUGGGCACUCUUAUCUCUCAUGCAUGAUUACGAUUACAAAUUACAAUAUGGUUACUUUUGAUAGGUCGCUCUUAGAACGUGCACACGAAAUCGCAUUAUCGUCAUUAUUUUUGGAAAUACGAUUCUUACCCCCUCUUGUUUAUCAAAAGCCAUCAAAACUAAGAGUCGGCAAAAAAAAUAUAAAAUCGAAUAGCAUUGAUGAUUC
rnacentral:lncRNA from 1 species